UCUCCGGGAAUCCAAUGCGCC
rnacentral:miRNA from 2 species